CCUACGGGUGGCAGCAGUCGAGAAUCAUUCACAAUGGGGGAAACCCUGAUGGGGCGACGCCGCGUGGGGGAAUGAAGGUCUGCGGAUUGUAAACCCCUGUCAUGUGGGAGCAAAGUAAAAAGAUAGUACCACAAGAGGAAGAGACGGCUAACGCUGGGCCAGCAGCCGCGGUAAUACAGAGGUCGCAAGCGUUGUUCGGAAUCACUGGGCGGAAAGCGUGCGGAGGCUGUUUCGUAAGUCGUGUGUGAAAGGCGCGGGCUCAACCCGCGGACGGCACAUGAUACUGCGAGACUAGAGUAAUGGAUGGCGAACCGGAAUUCUCGUUGUAGCCGU
rnacentral:rRNA from 1 species